UCCCUCGUGGCGCAAUUGGCUAGCGCGUUCGACUGUUAUCCUGGGUUCAUCUGAACCACGAAGACCGGAAUCGAGAGGUUGGUGGUUCAAGCCCACCCGAGGGAG
rfam:Sclerotinia sclerotiorum 1980 scaffold_3 genomic scaffold, whole genome shotgun sequence.